GGAAUAUUGCACAAUGGGCGCAAGCCUGAUGCAGCCAUGCCGCGUGUAUGAAGAAGGCCUUCGGGUUGUAAAGUACUUUCAGUGGGGAGGAAGGCGUGAUGUUUAAUACGCAUCGCGAUUGACGUUACCCACAGAAGAAGCACCGGCUAACUCCGUGCCAGCAGCCGCGGUAAUACGGAGGGUGCAAGCGUUAAUCGGAAUUACUGGGCGUAAAGCGCACGCAGGCGGUCUGUUAAGUCAGAUGUGAAAUCCCCGGGCUCAACCCGGGAACUGCAUUUGAAACUGGCAGGCUUGAGUCUCGUAGAGGGGGGUAGAAUUCCAGGUGUAGCGGUGAAAUGCGUAGAGAUCUGGAGGAAUACCGGUGGCGAAGGCGGCCCCCUGGACGAAGACUGACGCUCAGGUGCGAAAGCGUGGGGAGCAAACA
rnacentral:rRNA from 1 species